ensembl:lncRNA
AUGACCUUCAAAACCACGACUGAGGAGUACUUGAGCUGCUCCUACUAUCACACUUCUCCGUCUGUGUGUGUGUCACUUGCUUCAUUGCUGAAUGAUUCAGCCGUUCAAACGAAUCAAUUUAAUGAAUGGUUCAGUGAUCAAAUCAGUGACUUGCCGCCACUUGCUGGCAGUUUCAGUUCAUUUUUAGCUUAUAAUAUAAUUUUUAAUCAUUUAAUAUUUCUGUAUUCAAAAUUUGACUUUUAAAACUAUGAAUUUCCACAUGAAUUUACAUGAAUGUCUGAAAUGUACCUACAAGCCACUUUUGUGUUCUUCUGUGCACCCUCUGUCAUACAAAUACAUGUUUUAUUAAUACUAAUUUCAUAUGAUUGGUAACUUAUCUGUCUUAUGCUAGUCCUUUCUAUAUUGUUUUAAACAGACAUGUUAAAAACUUAUAAACAAUUUUUUGAAUUUGACAAGAUGAAAAUGAUGCCAUUGUAAAGGUAAAGAAAAUACCCCUGUAAGACACUUUAAGGAGUCACAUGUCCUCUUAUUAGGAAGGCUAAUUUUGUGUUCAGAAUUUUUGAUUAUUGAUCACAAGGAGCUCCUAAUUCUUUUAAAUUAGGACAAGCGCUCCUAAAAAGAAAAGCAAGCAUAGAGCCCUGUGUAACAGUAUCUGCCUAAUUAAACCUUCUGCUGUCUUUCAUUAUACAGUGAAGACUAUCCAGUGUUAUUUUACAGUUGAAUAUAUUUUAUUUAGACCUGACUCAAAACAUUUCUUGUUAUCGUUUUGUGUGUGUGUGUGUGCUAUUGUUUGUCAUUAAUUUACUUGUUCUUAUUUUAAUAUUUACUAGAGUUUUUUUUUUUUUUUUUGUUAAAAUUAAUAAAACUCUGAGUGCACGUGAUUCUUGGGUGGGGAGGACGCGUGGUCCAUGAGAAAUAGUCCUGCCACCACAGCUGGAAAAAAUCCUCGGAAACACUGCAUGCAUUUAAUAAAAUAAGAAAAAUGCAUUUACAAAGGUAAAAAGAAAAUGUCCCUGAAAUCACUUUGAUUCGAAUGUCAGCUUGUAUUAGGAAGGCAAAUUUUUUAUCAGAAUUUUUUAUUAUUGAUCAGAAGAUGCUCCUAAUUGUUUUAAUUAGGAGGACAACUGCUCCUAAUUACAAGAAGAAAAACUAUAGUUAGUCACCUAAUCUUUUUACCUACACCCACUCUUGUAACCUACAGUAAUAUAUUUAUCUUUAUAGAGCUUUAUAGUAAGGAAAUAAUAAAACACAAACUUACCAUUCUCAAUAAAUGUAAGAAUCCUGUGAUCGUACACUUAUCUUCCAAAGAUACAUCACUGUCUUCAUCUUCAUCCUGUGUAGGCCAGUUUAUCUUGUCCAGAACCAUCUGAUUAAAUAAUAUUAUAGUAAUCAUAUAGCAGAUGAUUUGCCAAACAGACAAGAGAAAAUCAAGUACAAUAGACCUGUUUAUACAUACAAGAAAUAUCCCAUAUUACAACAUCACUAUAGAGCAGUGUUUCCAACACAAGUCCUCGACCCCCUGACAGAAUAUUUUAGAUGUAGAAGCCUAAUGAGUUUAUUCUGGUGAUUCAUUUAAGCAGAUCUAAAAUAUCUGUAGAGGGGGCCACGAGGAUUGGAGCUGAGAACCACUGACAGAGGAUUUAAAGCAGGGAUAGGCAACUCCGGUCCUGGAGGGCCACUGUCCUGCAGAGUUUAGCUCCAACCCUAAUUAAACACACCUGAACAAGGCAAUCAGUGUUUUCGGGAUUACUAGAUAGAUACAGGCAGGUGAGUUUUUAUGAGGGCUGAAGCUAAACUCUGCAGGAUAGUGGCCCUCCAGGACCAGAGUUGCCUAUCCCUGAUUUAAAGCAUGUGUAAACAAAGAUGUUUUAAACUGUUAAUGAAUUUCACUGUUGCACAUGUUUUUCUUUACAGUAAUUUACAUUCAGUGCAUAUUUAUGAUUUCUUGUUACACUCUUAAAAGUGCAAAUCUAACAAUAUUAAAAAAGAUUGAUAUUGAAUGGAAUCUGUGGUGUGUACUGUAUAUCAGACGCUCGUGGAAACACAAGGGGAAUUGUGUCAGCUCUCUCUGUUAGCAAAGGUCAGAUCAGUGUCUCUUUUAACCUCCCGUCGUAAGUGCUUAACCUGUCUGGAGGUUCUUGUAAGAACCUGCAAAAUAUUUACAAUACAACUUCACUCAUAAAAGCAAUUAGUUAUACAAUCUAUUACAAGCAAUAUCUUUCUGUGUAUCCCUCAUAACCCCAACCCAAAAUUAAUCUUUGUGGUUUAAGUUGCUAUAUGCGUUGUUUGUUUAAAGGGUGAAACAUUUUCCAAUACACUUGGUAGAUGAAAACGUAACCGAGCUGUGUUGAUUUUGCUGUGCCUGCAGGUGUGAUUUCUGUGGUUGAACAGAACAUACUUGUACCUAUGCAUAAGAGGUCUUUACAGAUAUUUUUAUGCUAGCAUUUGUUGCAAUUAAGGGAGAAUGCAGGGAAGAAAUGCAAAUGAUAUGCAAGGCUAUAAAAGGUAGAGGAAAGCUGUGUGCAUGGACUCACUUCGAUGGUGAAGACUUAUUCGCUGUUAUUUUAAUUUUUUAUUACUUAUGAGUUAUUGUCUAUUAAUAAAGCGAAACCAUGACAAAUGGUGAUGCGAAAAUCUUUAUUAAAAGAAGAGUCUCUGAGUAAUUUAUUUAUGAGUAACAUAUCAUUCUGAACUGAACAUUCCUAUGAGCCUCAAGCAGACUCAGCUGAGCAGUUGCGGGGCCGGAGAGGAUUCCACGUCUUUUCAUCACAGAUCUGGAUCUCAGAGGUAAGAGCAAAUUAUUUUGAGAGUAAGGAAUGUGCAUUAGACAUUUAGUGGCUUUUCCUCGGGGUACAAAUACAACACAAGACAUGUGAAAACUGUGAUUAAAAUCAAGGUUAUUGCAUUAAAUAUUCAUUUUUGAACUUUUCUUACAAAUGUAACCCUUGUAUUGCUUAAAAGUGAAUAUGAACUUGUUUUCUUUGUUAUAUUUGAGGUCUGAAAACAUACAGAGCAUCUUAUCUGUUAUUUUGACCUGUUUCUCCAGUUUUCUUUUACUGCAAAUGUAAAUAAAAACUAUAUUUUUAUAUUAAACGUUGUCAGUA